CCCGCCUCUGGCCAUCACCCCACUGUUGUCUGUGUCCAUUGGUUGCACAUAUAUGUUCUUCGGCUACUCUCUUCACCUUUCAUCCGGUACCCCCCGUCCAAAAGCUUUCAUUUUGAUUAACUCCUAUUUAACUUUUUUCUUCUUUUAUUGUUUGUGCUUUCGGUGUCAUCUGUAAGAAUUCUUUGCUUAAACCCGUGUCACAACCAUUUAGUCCUGUUCCCUUCUAGUGUGAGUCUUCCAACCAUCCGUGCAUUUCCUCUAAGUUGUCUAAAUUGUUGGCAGACAGGCCUGGGCCUGCCCUGUGGACUUUUCUAAAAGUCUCUCAAAGGUUCAAAAAACCACCCCAAACCAGCAGCGUCUGGCCUCAGCCUGCCUGUACCUCCUGCUAAGCAACCCCAUGCCCAGCACCUGUCACAGCACAGCCUCUCCCAGCUCAGGCAGCUACCCCACAGAGCACUCUGCAGCUCCUACCAAGUGGCCCCGGGUGGGCACAGGCAUCGGCUGACCCCGGCCUGCUCCCAGAGGCCCCAGAACCAACUCUUGGUGCAGGCGACAGCAGGAAGAAUCUUAAAGAUGGAAAACCUACGUGCUGCUCGCUUCGACCUCUGGCCUUUCUCCUGGUCACGCUCGUCCUCGUCCUCUUUGGCGCAGGGGUCCUGAGCCCAAGAAUCCCGAUGCUGGAGACCAGACCAGAAGGAGAAGGGAUGCUUUAUCCGCAGCCCACGGUGCUGACGCCCUCGAGGAAAGACGUCCUCGUCCUGACCCCCUGGCUGGCGCCCAUCGUCUGGGAGGGGACCUUCAACAUUGACAUCCUGAACGAGCAGUUCCGGCUCCAGAACGUCACGGUCGGGCUCACCGUGUUUGCCAUCAAGAAGU